AUUGAACGCUGGCGGCAGGCUUAACACAUGCAAGUCGAGCGAGUGGCGGCCGGGUGAGUAAUGUUUGGGGAUCUGGCCGAUGGAGGGGGAUAACUACUGGAAACUGUCGCUAAUACCGCAUACCAUCGGAUGAACCCAAGUGGGCUUAGGUAGUGGGUGGGGUAAUGGCCUACCUAGACGACGAUCUCUAGCUGGUCUGAGAGGAGGAUCAGCCACACGGGGACUGAGACACGGCCCAGACUCCUACGGGAGGCAGCAGUGGGGAAUAGUGCACAAUGGGGGCAAUCCUGAUGCAGCCAUGCCGCGUGUAUGAAGAAGGCCUUCGGGUUGUAAAGUACUUUCAGCGAGGAGGCGUUAAUCACAGAAGAAGCACCGGCUAACUCCGUGCCAGCAGCCGCGGUAAUUC
rnacentral:rRNA from 1 species